rnacentral:lncRNA from 1 species
UCAAUGUCUAUGAGAGGGCCAAAAUGAUGUUUCCACUGCUAUUUUAAUUGUUAGUUAUAAUUCAGGAACAUAAAAGAAACAUAAGAAUUAAACAUGAAAAGCACAAAUUCAAUUUCAAACAAGUAAUAAAGUCACGAUCAGGGUAUGAUACUUCUUGUUUAUUUUUUUUUUUAAUCCAUCUUAAAACCGAAGCAUGCCUUUUUACACACCAAAACCCAGAAGCUUCUCCUCUCUUCUUCUAAGCUAUAACGAACCCAAACCUUCAUCAUUUGUCCAGAGCUUGAUACAGUCUUCUCUCGGUCCGAUCUCCUGCUGUGUGGCUCAUCUUCUUCGCAUGCCUCUCUCAUCAUCAUCAGCUCUCUCCCAAAAGUUGCUAAGUUUCUUCCUUUAUUUUUUCUCAUUUCAGAAACCCGAAAGCCCUUUUUAUGCAACCAAAAAUCAUGCAAUUUAAUCUGGUUUUUUGGAUUU